GAGCUUAACAGCUUUAUUUCCGCUCUGAAAUAGCAAGGCUUCCUUCCAGCACACAGAGUGGAUGUUCUAAUGGGCUGAGCAGAGCAGGGUGGUUUAAAACACAGGGAAAUGGAAGGCAAAUCACCCCCGACCCCACCCCAUCCCCCCAAAAAGAAGGACCAACCAUUUCAAAGUUAUUUUCCUUGUAAAGUGGGGGGACUGGAGUCAGCAGGACUGAAGGCCUCUUCUUAAAGGUUGUGGCAAGCUUUCCUGGUGCCAAGGCCUCUGCACGUUUGAACAGAGCUAUCAACACAAACCUAAAGCCCCUGCUGGUGAUGAGGCUGCGAUAGGAAGAGCCCCAUGUGACAGGUGCUCGGUAAAGGUGUUCAUUUAAGGAGCAGUGCAGUUGGGGAUGCACAGUUAUCUACCUAGUAAUGCAUGGAGUGUGGCGCAGCUAGGUCUGGUGCAGCACAUGCAAAGGCUCCUUCUGGGUAAUCCUUCUGUGGCCAAUGUAUUUUUGUCUUCAUGAGAAGAAAUCCAUCUUCAUCAAGGUUUAUUUUAAAGCCGCUUCACCCUAAACACUGAGACUCAUCUAUCUUCUCUUAGAUCAUUCUUCAAAAUCCAUUUUUCACUAUCCCAAAAAUACUCUCGUAUUAAUGAUGGCAAUCAAUACUUACAGGCUUGCAAUCAGUAGCUUCGUUAAAAAAAUCCAUGACCUCUGCUUGUCUCUUAUUUCUAAGGUCUUCAGAUGCCUUCCCCCAUCACAAGUACCACCUUCACCAUGGCUACCAUUUGCCAGAAUGGCUUUUAAAGGCAGAGUCAAGAGACCUUACUCAGAGGAGGAUGAGAACGUUUCAGGAAUGGCAGUAAGGGGUCAGUGCCUUAUUCAGCAUCAUCAAAGAGGCUUCUUCCUGCAGCAGAUGGGAACAAAUACAGAGACCACACCAGACAUCAUACAAAGAGAGGGACCUGGGAACACAUGUCUCUAAAUAAAGAGAUGUCUCCAUCAAAUUCUCCCCUUGAGAAAGGGAAGAAGGAAGACUGUGAGAGGCAGAGGGAUGGGAAAAUACCAGGGGAAACUACAUCCUUCUAAAGCAACUGAGAAAACUCAUGUGAACUCCUUUCCCCUAGCUGGGCUGUCUUGUGUGGCCUUAGUGAGAGAGAUGCAUUUAGUCCUACUUCGACUUGAUGUCCCAGCUCAGGAUGGUCCCUCAAGGGCAGGUCCCCUUCUCAAAGGAGAAGGGAAUGAGCCUAAGUUAAGGAAGAGGGCAGACAACGACUUAAAUUUUUCAAACCAGAAGAAAAACGAUCCUGGCCUUCGUGGCAUCCCAGCAACAUCUGAACAUACAGCCUUAUCCUGCCCUGGUGUCAUCCAGGUAAACGUGCAGACACCGAGAACAGAAAGGCCUUAGUCAUCAGCUUUUCAAACUGAUGGCACUGGAAAAACAAAUGCCAUCACUUCUGAGAUUCGCAGGCAGGAAAUUCGUUUUCAACCCUGGGCAAGGUCAUGUCUGCCUACUUAAUGCUAAUUCUGAUGCAAGCUGACAACACUGUGCUGUCUUUGCCUUUCGUUAAUAUACCUCAUGGUAUAUUAACCCCUCCAAGGAGAGAGCCCUUACAUGGAGGAGGAGAUAGUUUUCCAAGUUGACCUGUUUUGCUUUGCAUCUACAAUUUGAAAACUGAAUGUCUAGCGCUCAGAGAUUCCAC
ensembl:lncRNA